rnacentral:rRNA from 1 species
AGACAUAUUCCGGUUGAUCCUGCCGGAGGUCAUUGCUAUUGGAGUCCGAUUUAGCCAUGCUAGUUGCACGAGUUCAGACUCGUAGCAGAUAGCUCAGUAACACGUGGCCAAACUACCCUAUGGAUCCGAAUGACCUCGGGAAACUGAGGCUAAUUCGGAAUACGAUUCAUAACCUGGAGUGGUGUGAAUCCGAAAUGCCCCGGCGCCAUAGGAUGUGGCUGCGGCCGAUUAGGUAGACGGUGGGGUAACGGCCCACCGUGCCCAUAAUCGGUACGGGUGAUGAGAGUCAGAGCCCGGAGACGGUAUCUGAGACAAGAUACUGGGCCCUACGGGGCGCAGCAGGCGCGAAACCUUUACACUGCACGCGAGUGCGAUAGGGGGACCCCGAGUGCGAGGGCAUACAGUCCUCGCUUUUCACCACUGUAAGGUGGUGGUGGAAUAAGUGCUGGGCAAGACCGGUGCCAGCCGCCGCGGUAAUACCGGCAGCACGAGUGAUGGCCGAUCUUAUUGGGCCUAAAGCGUCCGUAGCUACUUUCCC